rnacentral:lncRNA from 1 species
UAAGCAUGAGUUGAGUCAUCAAGAGCAUAAGCAUGAAUUGUGUAAAUCAAAUAAAACUGAGUUAUGAAUCUAGUAGGAGCUGGGAGUUUAUUAGAGAUGUAGUGUAAUACUAAGCAAGGCUAUCAAACGUAAUGGCCAAGGCUAUGAACAACCUGUAUAAAACCCAAAGUACAGAACCUUCAAAUGGGGUUUUCUUCUACAAAAC